AGAUUGAACGCUGGCGGCAGGCCUAACACAUGCAAGUCGAGCGGAUGAAGGGAGCUUGCUCCUGGAUUCAGCGGCGGACGGGUGAGUAAUGCCUAGGAAUCUGCCUGGUAGUGGGGGAUAACGUCCGGAAACGGGCGCUAAUACCGCAUACGUCCUGAGGGAGAAAGUGGGGGAUCUUCGGACCUCACGCUAUCAGAUGAGCCUAGGUCGGAUUAGCUAGUUGGUGGGGUAAAGGCCUACCAAGGCGACGAUCCGUAACUGGUCUGAGAGGAUGAUCAGUCACACUGGAACUGAGACACGGUCCAGACUCCUACGGGAGGCAGCAGUGGGGAAUAUUGGACAAUGGGCGAAAGCCUGAUCCAGCCAUGCCGCGUGUGUGAAGAAGGUCUUCGGAUUGUAAAGCACUUUAAGUUGGGAGGAAGGGCAGUAAGUUAAUACCUGCUG
rnacentral:rRNA from 1 species